UACGGAGGGGGUUAGCGUUGUUCGGAAUGACUGGGCGUAAAGCGCGCGUAGGCGGAUCAGGAAGUUGGGGGUGAAAUCCCGGGGCUCAACCCCGGAAUGGCCUUCAAAACUCCUGGUCUUGAGUUCGAGAGAGGUGAGUGGAAUUCCGAGUGUAGAGGUGAAAUUCGUAGAUAUUCGGAGGAACACCAGUGGCGAAGGCGGCUCACUGGCUCGACACUGACGCUGAGGUGCGAAAGCCAGGGGAGCAAACGGG
rnacentral:rRNA from 1 species